rnacentral:rRNA from 1 species
AGAGUUCGAUCCUGGCUCAGAUUGAACGCUGGCGGCAUGCCUUACACAUGCAAGUCGAACGGCAGCACGGGUGCUUGCACCUGGUGGCGAGUGGCGAACGGGUGAGUAAUGUAUCGGAACGUACCAUUCAGUGGGGGAUAACUAUCCGAAAGGAUAGCUAAUACCGCAUAUUCUGUGAGCAGGAAAGCAGGGGAUCGCAAGACCUUGCGCUGAUUGAGCGGCCGAUAUCAGAUUAGCUAGUUGGUGGGGUAAAAGCCUACCAAGGCGACGAUCUGUAGCGGGUCUGAGAGGAUGAUCCGCCACACUGGAACUGAGACACGGUCCAGACUCCUACGGGAGGCAGCAGUGGGGAAUUUUGGACAAUGGGCGAAAGCCUGAUCCAGCCAUGCCGCGUGAGUGAAGAAGGCCUUCGGGUUGUAAAGCUCUUUCGGCCGGGAAGAAAUCGCAUAGGUUAAUACCCUGUGUGGAUGACGGUACCGGAAUAAGAAGCACCGGCUAACUACGUGCCAGCAGCCGCGGUAAUACGUAGGGUGCGAGCGUUAAUCGGAAUUACUGGGGCGUAAAGCCGUGCGCAGGCGGUUUUUUUAAGACAGGCGUGAAAUCCCCGGGCUUAACCUGGGAACUGCGCUUGUGACUGGGAAGGCUAGAGUACGGCCAGAGGGGGGUGGAAUUCCACGUGUAGCAGUGAAAUGCGUAGAGAUGUGGAGGAACACCGAUGGCGAAGGCAGCCCCCUGGGCCGAUACUGACGCUCAUGCACGAAAGCGUGGGGAGCAAACGGGAUUAGAUACCCUGGUAGUCCACGCCCUAAACGAUGUCAACUAGGUGUUGGGUGGGUAAAACCAUUUAGUACCGGAGCUAACGCGUGAAGUUGACCGCCUGGGGAGUACGGCCGCAAGGUUAAAACUCAAAGGAAUUGACGG